GAUGAAGAACGUAGUGAAAUGCGAUAAGUAAUGCGAAUUGCAGAAUUUCCGUGAGUCAUCGAAUCUUUGAACGCACAUUGCGCCCACUGGUAUUCCGGUGGGCAUGCCUGUUCGAGCGUCAUUAUCCUCCCUCAAAACUCCUGUUUUGGUGUCGGGCCGCGUUGGUCACCUCCGACCAACGGGCCUCAAAGACAAUGACGGCGUCCGUGGGACCCUCUUCGCAGUGAGCUUUUGUUAGCGCGCGUUGAGUUUAAAGGACCUUCCGGGCCGGCCACCUUUAUCUAUUUUACAAGGUUGACCUCGGAUCAGGUAGGAAUACCCGCUGAACUUAAGCAUAUCAAUAAGCGGAGGA
rnacentral:misc_RNA from 1 species